UCCGUGACUACAGACUGUCUCUCCAACCUCAAAACUUGAAUGGAGGAAGCAUUGCAUUUCCAGUGGUUCUUAUCACAGUUGUUGUCAGUGACUACAAACAGUCUAACUUGAAUGAUGAAAAGAGAAACAUACAUCUGGAGUUGUAGAAUUGUGAGACAAUGGGAUCUGCCACCACUAUUUUCCUUUGCUGCUUAGGUUUCCCUGUUCACUUUCUCAUAUGGCCUGUUGGAUUUUCUUUCUCGACAACUUUGUGGGUAUGACAUUGUUUCUUUCUCUAUUAUAUUCUGAUGGAUGAAUUGGCAUUCUUCGCUCCUGGAAUGUUGGCUUUAGGAGCUUCAGGUUAUGGCCCUGAUGAAG